ensembl:lncRNA
AUGCCUUAUGUUUCCAUGACAAAGCGUCAUGCUUGUCACGUGACACACGCAGCAACGAAAACACUGUUUGACAGAUGUAUCGCUUUUAUUUUGUAUUUGCUUUUUUUGUUUCAUUUUUAUUUGAUUGUUAAAAGCAUUUUAGACAUUAUACCUUACACUAUGCCAAAAAGCAAACAACAUAAUAUGUUUGUUUAUUUAUUAAAAAUAAGUCACACCAACAUAGGGGUAGGUGAUAUACCAGCAAACAUGAUAAUCUGGUAGAAAUUUGUCAACCAGUAGAGAUUUUGGACUAUUGUCUUUGUAGAGGUUAUACGCUCACACAACGUUUAAGUUGUAUUUCUUUUCUUAUUUUAUAAUGCUUGAAGUUUGGUGUUUUUUUUUUUUUUUUGUCUUAUUGCUUUUCAUUUGUUUAUUUGUUCUCAUUUUAUCACCAACUGUUUACUUUAGUAAGCUUUAGAGUUUUUCUUUUUUGCUCAGGUUAGAUAGGCUAUUUUGUGAUAUUGAAAUUAAUGAUAAGAAUAAUCAGCCUGAAAUAGUAAAAUAAGAACUUUUUCUUAAAACCUUAAACUAAUUUUUCACAAAGUCUGUUGUUGUUGAGAUGGUCUCCAAUGCCACACCUUUCUCUACAGCUGUCAGUCAUUUACGGGAAACCAAAACUGAACAAACAUAUCUAUCAGUGGAGCAUGACAGUUAUGGGAAUGUUACGUGAAUAUUUUAUAUACUUUUUUUUGUGACCACAGGCUAUUCAUAGUACUAUUAGUACAUGUACUAUUCAUAGUAGCAUAUAUAUAUAUAUAUAUAUAUAUAUAUAUAUAUAUAUAUAUAUAUAUAUAUAUGUGUGUGUGUGUGUGUGUGUGUGAUUGAUUAAGAUUGAUUAAAUUAAUAAACUGCUGGAAAUUUGUCAACAGUUUUGGACUAUUGUCACAGCACUCCACAAAUUAAUUAAGUUAAUUCUUUAUAUAUUAUAAAUAAUUAAUAAUCCUUUUAGAUUUUUUUUCUUUGUGUGGCUGUUAAAGGGUCAAAAUGAAUGAAUGAAUAAAUAAAUAAAUAAAUAAAUAAAUAAUCUUGAACUUCUGAUGAUUACCAAACUCCUUACUCUUUAUAUGUUUGAUUUACGUAUUUUUUACAAUGCUGAACACUGAAAUAAAGACAUGCCUAAUUAUUUUGUCUGUUCUAUUGCAUGAACCUUAUUUUUCUGGAGAAGCUAAACAUAUUAUGCUAUUGUCAUACGUAAUUAUGCUUAUAUAAAAGUAAAAAAUAAAAAUAAAAUAGUUCUUAAAUAAAAGGAAAGCACAUGGACUUAUAUACUUACAGACAAGGAGAAAACUAGCGCAGCAAUGCCCAGAGGUAAGCAGCAGCACAGCAUGGUGAAGAUGGAGUAGCCCAAGUAAUCUGCCACUGGAUUGGCCAAUGGAGCGGCGGUCACAAAAACUGCAGGCUGCACAGUGACCACGGACUGUCCUGGAUACGGCCCCUGGGCGUAGGGGCCUUGGGGUUCUGGGUGGCUUGGAAAGGAGUGAGGAUAUCCAACAGGAUUGUCCUGGUAUGCUGGUGGAGGUGCUGCUGGCUGCAACAUCGCUGAUUUCUCAGAUGAAUUGCAGGCCCCUGGAGGCUGAUUGAAAGACGGGCUGGAAUCCAUUUGUCUGAUUAUUGGAUUUUGGUUGUAAUUUCCUUUGCCUUGUGCUCUGCAGAGGCGAAUGUAUUACUGUACUUUGGUGUCAUAUAUCCUGUCAGUUAAGGUAGGCAGCAUGUGGGAGGUGAGUUGUAGGUUGUAGGGGUGGAGUGAGUAGACGUUUACCUUUGUAUCCAUUAUACUACUGUAUGUGACUGCAGGCGUCACACUGAGGUUUUACAUUUACUGAGAUACAUAAAAUAUCAGGAGUAUUUCACCACACCAAAUCAUAUUUUUGGGACCUUGUGACAAUGAAUCUUUUUAACCAGUUUCCUUAUCCCUCCUGCCAGCAUUACACGUCUGAACUCACAACAUGGGUUAUAAACUCAACCUUCCUGUGUUUAAAACAAAAAGCACUGUUAAUUAAUUUAAAAAAAAAAACAACAACAUGCAAUAUGUACAUUAUUUAGAACUAUCAGAAUGGCAGUUAUGGGGAAGUUACAUGAAGCAAGGGCUGUAUGUCAAGCACAAUACAUUUUACCUUUACUUUCACUUUUACUAUACUGUAAAAAAAUUGCCAGGAAUUUACAUGAUUAAAGAGUAUUAUUUACAAUAAAUUACUGCAGUCAGAAAUUUACUGUGAAAUCAAUGCAUGCUGGGUCAUUUUAUUACAAAUUACUAUGAAUGAACAGCAGAAUGAUGCUAACAUCACAAUAAUUUACUGCUCUUGAUUUACCGGGGAAUUCAUAUUAUAAAGUUGUCUUUAACUGUGCCACUGUGAGAAAUGUAGUUGUUUACUACUGUAAUCGUUUUGAAGUCACCAUAAUGAUGAUUGGUGAUCCAAUUUAAUAUUUAAUAACAGUUUAAAUAACUGAUUAUUUUCAGGCUACUAAGAGAAACGAUGUGUAGUUGACCGUUAAGUCACUGACUUGAUUUAUUGAUGCACAAACAGCAAUAAAUGAUUCUGAGAGAAAGAACACCUGACUGUACACUAAUCAUUACACUGAUCUCAGUUUAUUAGAAUGAACACCCCCCACCCCUCUCAAAGUGACUUGAUCUCAGUUGAACAUUUAAAAUCAUAACACCAAAUGUGUUUGUGUUUGUCAAUUAUAUUUAAGGCCAUAUUAAAGGACACCUUCUGGUAUAAUAAUCUCUCAUUAUUAAGGAGAUUUAAGAUAUCCAAUAUAGAGGACCAUAACAAAGAAGUACUGUAGAUGAAGGAUGACAUUCUGUCUCUACUUGCUGAUGAUGUUGGCACUGAAAGUAAAUGUGAAGCAUACUGUCUACCACUAGUUUUUCAGAACUACUCAUUCUGAGAUGACAUAGUCUCUACCAACAUCAUGCAAGAACAUCUCCAGAACAUCAGACCUUUAAUCUCAAACCACAAUUUGGUUGAGAAAUACUUUUCAUUUUACAUUGGCAGUAAAGACUCCCUAACAAAAUAUCCCCCUGUAAAAUAAUAAUUGCAGGUUUUUCCUGUUUAAGAAAUUGUAAAGUGAAACAAUUGACAAUUUCACACACAAUAUUAUAAAUUUGUACUGUUUCGCUAAUGAAAAUAUUUCCAGUGUUUCGUUCUUAAUUGAUUUAGCAUUUUUGAAUGAAUCAGGUUGAUGACACUUGCUUGUUUAAUGAAUGAUUCAGCCAUUUCGAACAAAUUCAUUACAUUAUAGUUCUAUAUUCAAAAUUUUGUAUUUAAAACAUUAUUUUCAUAACAUUAUUUAUACAUUUUUUAUUGGAGUGUAAAUUAAUUAAUUACAACUGAGCUGCAUUAAACAGUCUAAAUGCCACUUCAGAUGCAGCUUCUGUGCCGCCUCUGCAGUGCAAAGAUGAAUUUUGAUGAUACUGCGCUUAUUUGACUGGUAACAGCCCUAUGAUGCUUAUUAGUGUAAAGAAUUAAAGGUGCAAUAGGUGAUUGUCCUCGGAAACAUUUUUUUUUAUACUUUUGUUAUAAGUCUCUUCACAUCCCGAUAGCAAUCAUUAAGUUAAGUGGGCUACAUGUAUUUAUAUAAUCUGUGGAAGGCGCAGGACCAGGAAAUGUUCAUCCAAUCAAAAUGUUGAGUCCGGACAUUAUGAUAGGCUUUCCUACCUGCCUGUCAACAUAAGUAUUUGCAUACCUUUGUGCACCCUGUUCGCGCAGACAGGAUACGUCAUCAGCACGUUCACAUAUGCUGUGCAGACAGAGCGAGAAUGGCAGGCAAACAUCAACAACCUGACCAUCCUUCACAACAAACGACGUCAAGUACUAUUAAGUUUUCUCACCGGUGAAUGACACAUGAUGUAUUGCAGUAAUGUUGUGUCUGGUGGUCUGGUCUGUGAGCGUUCAUGUGUUCAGGAGGCGUGGCUUUGGAUGUCGAUUUGCAGGGAGGGUGGGACAGUGCUGUCAGGCUAAGCUAAGCAUUUUUCAAAAUGUCCUACUGCACCUUUAAAAGACAUUCUACAGUAUGUAACCUGCCUGCCAUAUUUUGUAGUGCCAUAGCUUUCUUACUAACAAAAAAAAAAAUCUCAUCAUUUGUAAGGGAACAGAAACUGUUCAAAUUGUAUUGUUUAUUCUAUUGUUUUUCAGGAAGUGAUAAAAGGAGAGGGUAACCAAAGGAUGUGCAUGUAGCACAGAUAUGGAAACUGGUAUGUUCCUGUGGCUCAGUGGUAGAGCAUUGUUUUAGCAGUGCAAAGGUUGUGGGUUUGAUUCCCAGGGGAACACAUGUUAGGUAAAAAAAAAAAAAAAAAAAAUUUUUAGCCUGAUUGCACUGUAAGUCACUUCGGAUAAAAGCGUCUGCUAAAUGCAUAAAUGUAACUGUUGUCUGUUUAAGAUUAAAGGGGUGGUUGAUUAUGAUUUCCCUCUUUUAACUUUAGUUAGUGUGUUAAUGUUGAUGUAUGAACUACAUCUGCAAAGUUCAGUGCAAAGGGAGAAAUCACUGUUUAAGGACUCAAAAAA